GCCUCUGUAGAUCAAUGGUUGAUCACCUGAAAAACAUAUGCUUGGACAUUCAUUUCGGGAGAUGUGGGUUCGAAUCCCACCGGAGGCA